CGGCGUGCCUAACACAUGCAAGUCGAACGGUGAUGAUUUGAAUUUCGGAUGGAUUUCAUCAUAGUGGCGGACGGGUGAGUAACGCGUGGAUAACCUGCCUCGUACUGGGGAAUAGCAGCUGGAAACGGCUGGUAAUACCGCAUAAGCGCACGAUGCCGCAUGGCACUGUGUGAAAAGAUUUAUCGGUACGAGAUGGAUCCGCGUCUGAUUAGCCAGUUGGCGGGGUAACGGCCCACCAAAGCGACGAUCAGUAGCCGGCCUGAGAGGGUGAACGGCCACAUUGGGACUGAGACACGGCCCAGACUCCUACGGGAGGCAGCAGUGGGGAAUAUUGCACAAUGGGCGAAAGCCUGAUGCAGCGACGCCGCGUGAGUGAAGAAGUAUUUCGGUAUGUAAAGCUCUAUCAGCAGGGAAGAAAGGCCCGAAAGGGAGAUGACGGUACCUGACUAAGAAGCCCCGGCUAACUACGUGCCAGCAGCAGC
rnacentral:rRNA from 1 species